UGGCUUCAUCUGCUUGAAUAAUUUGUUUGUUUUAAUUAACUAUUUAAUAUAUUGAAUAUGUCAGUUUCAUAUUUGAGGCUCUAGAAUAUUGUGCCAAUGUGCCAGUAUUAUUUCAGAUGGGGAAAGUAUAGAGAGCAAUGCUAUUUUAUAUUCUGUUUUUGACAGAGUUCUUAAAACUUGGAGAAGGUUAUUGAGGUUAAAAUUGCUCCCGUUGUACUUAAGUUACAAAAUAUCUUUCUUGUGUCUAAUGCAGCCGACGGUGAGAUUUUGCAGGAGUUUAACUAUUUGAUUGGUUAUGCCUGUGCCGAUUACUCAAAAGACUAUUAGUCAAGUAUUAAGAGAUAAUGGAUGCCAGUUUGACCUGUCAGUAGUUCAAGAGAUAGCCAGAGCGAUCUGUGAGACAAACCUUGUUAGAAGCAAUUGGUGAAACAGGUCUACUUUCCAGUGCCUGGAGGAGAGAGGUUUACUUUGAUGUAGUGGAACCAGUAGGCAAGUCAAGGCAAGGCAAUUUUAUUUGUAUAGCACAUUUCAACACCAAGGCAAUUCAAAGUGCUUCACCAGUAGAAUAAAUACUCAAACCAAAAAGAUAGUAAGUAAUACAAAAAUAAGUAAUUCCAAAAUAUUUCAAUUUUAAAGCCUUUGCUGCUAAUUCAACAUUUUGUAAAUGUGCUCCUUUCCAUUUCCGAGAGACAUCAAUUUCAGAUUGCAAAUCAUUUACAUGCAUGUAGCUUUACGAGACCUCCAUUGGAAGUGGCAAACGUUUCAACUCUUCACAUUGAUGUUCUUAACAAGGAGAUCUCAAAUUCCGUGAAACAAAAGUCUUCAACCAUGGGCAUGAAAGCUUGGCCAAAAGUGUGGCGUACAAUGGACUAAACUACAGGUGUGUGAUGAUUUUGAUCCAUGGCUUACUCAGUGCACGGCCAGAGUUUGUUAAAAGCAUCUAAAUGGUGCUAUUGCAAAACAGCUUCAUCCUUGUUGUGAAGAAGCUCAGCCUGUACGAUUAUAAAUAAAUGAUUUGAAUAAUCGUUUUCAAUGUGUGGCGAGUGAGGAAAUGUCCUUCCUGAGCUACCGUAGGCUCAGGCAGUCUUUGGUACCUCCUACUUCCUGGUUCACCCAUUAGAACGGGUAUAAAAGCUGCACAUAAUGAAGCUGCUGUCACCACGCUUGUCCCUUUCUGUGUUUGAGGCUGGCUGGAGAAUCCAAUGAGCUGGUAGGUUUUUUUUUUGUUAAUAAUUUUUACAGUUCUUAGAAAACCGAUUUGGCCACUGGCGAUCCUUCUGUUGGUCUCCCAGCUUGUCAGGGAGGCCCAAACCAUGUGUGAGCCGGACCAGGUGGAGGAGCCUACAAGUAACUCCAGGCUGGCAUUAGAAGCCACUGCUGUUUUGUGUAGCUUAUUCAGUUCCUUUCUGGAGUUUAUUCAUAUUUGUAACAUUAGUUAGUUUGCUGAUGAUUACUUUUGGUAAUUUGUUUAUUUAUUUAUUUUUUAGGGGGUGUUUGAGGCUGUCUGCAGAGUAGCAUCCCAGAUGGUGGGUCUGGUGGCUGGGCCUUUCAUCUGCUCAUCCCAUUGUCCGUUGUUUGUCUGCAUUUUCUUUUAACAUAGCAUGCCUUGAUUUUAUAUUGUUUGUGUGGAGAAACUAAGUCGGUGAGCGCCCUGUGCCAGAGCCUGUCCCCGUUCUCACCCCGGUGCGGCCUAGUCACCAGUAGCCCUCAAUUUGUUUGUAGAGGCGCAUUUGGUUAUUCCUACAGCUGAUGGAAAUUAGUUUCAUUGUUUUGUAUGCUUACUAUAUUUUAACUAAAUGUUAAUCUGGGAUAAUCCUUUUGCCUCAGUCUGACCUCAGUCACCAGUUGAUCCUUGGUUGUUGGAUAAUUUAUGAGGAAAUGUUUAACCCUGUGCUACCGGUGGUUAAAAUGUCUGUCUUCCAGUUGCUCAACUUCUCAUGAUUUGAUCUACACACUAUGCAUCAGUUAAAACUAAUGCGUUCUAAUACAACAGCCCUACAACUUAUUUCUCACUCAUUCUCUUGUAUCAGGGAAGUCGACAGUCCAAAUAGAAAUCGGCCAAUGGUACCCCUAGAAGGGAUUUACUCACAUGUUGAACUUUACUAAUUGCUUGUGAUCUUUUCUCAGACUGCUAUGGCUGGUUCCACACACACAGAAUCAAGAUGAACAUUGGAAAAAACAAACUUCCAAAUGGCUUGCCAAAGUCACUAGAUAUCUUUACUGCAAGAUGAAGACAACCUUUAGGUUAAAGGGCAGCCUCUCACUUCAAUACAUGGACCAAGAUUUUGGCAAUUACUUUUUAAUCUACACUCUACCACUGAAUUUCAGGGACAAGUAGCAGGCCAAACGGGUUAGUUGAUAUGUAAAAUGUUUGACCUACCUCUGUGUAUUGCCCGUGAUAAAUUGUGUAACCCUGUUUUAUAAAUUGUUGCAGAUAAUGUAAUUUGUUUUUUAGUAUUGUCAUUUACUCAUUUCAGUUGGUUCAAUAUGCGUUGGGCAAGAAACCUGGUGGAGACCGUGGUGCCAUGAGCGCAAACAAAAGGUAUGACUGACUUGCGUUGUUAACAAGCACACUCUUAAAGAGCCACUGCUCAUAUAUUCAACUGCAAGCAUUUUUCAACAUGUUUUAACUGUUUGAAUUGCUUGGUGAUUCGUGGUGAUUGUGAUGUUUGUCCAAAGUGUAAGUGAAUCCUAUGUGUGUACCCUCUAAAAAUGCACUUUACUGUCAGAAAUGUGUAUUUAAUUAAAACUGCUGUACACUUCAGUGUAACCCCAACACUGUAGGUUAAGACCUUAUGUUUACUGGCUUAGUGUUGCAAUGUACUCCAAUUUGACAGUCACAUUUACUGUGUACCUGGAAUGUAAUUUUGGCCGUGAAUUAAUAAAAUGUCAAUGUAUUCUAGAGUCUUGUAGGACGCAAUUGCUGAUAAUGGGCGGUCGACCAACUGACAGAACCGUACAGGUCAAAGGAGGCUCAUAGAUCUUGGGGAGAAGAUGGGCGAGGCCUGGGCUCUUCAUUAAAGUAUUCUUUGUAUGUAUUUCUUGUCGUGCAGGCUGUGUAAUGGCUCUAAUAAAAUGUCUUUCUAACUGUAAAGAAUGCUUGAGUGUUGAGGCCUGUCCUGAAGAACUAUUUGGAUCCUUUAUCUGCUGUUUGCUGUUGGCCAAUGUGUUAGUAUUGCGAAAUAACGUUAGCCUGUGGGCAAGUAGAUGCCAUCCUGUCAGUGUUCCAGAGAUUUUUCAGAAUGGGUUGUGAUUCCAUGCAGGAUGGUCCAGAGAAGGCAGCAGGCUCCUGCCUUGAGGAUCCCAAGAAGUGGUCAAGCAGUUUCAGCCUCCUGUGACGGUGGAAAUAACCAGCAGUCUUUAGUGAUUUGAGUGAACGGACGGUCCACAGAAGACAACAGGGUCUCAUGUGAAAAUUGCCUGCUGACUGAGAGGACAAUUCGUAGAACAAAACAAGCUCCUGCUUCAGGGGCAAGCAGCUUUAGCCUCCUGUGGAAAUCGCCAAGUUGGCAAUUUCCACAACAGGUAAGACUUUUUUCCCAGUAAUGGUUAUCAUGCAGGCUGUGUGACAGGUCUAGAAAGUGUUUGCAACUGUAUGAUUGCAUAAUGUGUUAACUUGCGGUGCAUCUUGUCUUUGGUUGCAUGUCCUGAACUAUUCUGUUUGAACUCUUUUCCAUUGGC
ensembl:lncRNA